CGUCCGGUCUGCUGGCUUCCGCGGGUGACCGGGGCCGGCGGCGGGUCGUCCCCGGCCGGAGGAUGCUGCUGCCGGGAGCAGGAGGGGACGUGGAGGCCCCGGGCGUGCCGCAGUCGCUGCAGGCCGGAGGCGGGGGUUCCGGCCCCCCUGCAGCCCCCACUCUGCUUUCCCGGGGGUCGGAGUCUCCGCGCCGCAGAGGCUGUGCCCUGUUGCUCUCCGCAGCUCGCGAGGUUUACCGCCCGCCGCUCUCCCCCAGGGCCCGGACGUUUCCAGGAAUUGCAAGAAAAAUCCUGGGGAAAAAGCCGUGUUGUCACCAGAGUGCCGGUCAUCUGGGAGAGGGGGAUUUCCCUGGAAAUGGCCUUAUCGCAGACCUCGGAGUUAAAAACCGAGGUCCAAGCAAUGGAUCGCUGAGACUAGUUACGGCAAGUUAAAGAACUCAUCAGUCAGCCUGAGCAGAGCUUCAUCUGGAAAGUGGUCAGUUAGUGUAAAGUCUGAAGCGGUAAGUUUUCAGAGUGCUCUAGGAUCCCUGGAAAAGAUGCCUUAACUUCAGGACCUCGUAGUCCAUUAGGUACAUCAAGAAACCAGAAGGGGUAAGAUUGCUGAACUCCAUCCGUUGCAGUAAGGCUGCUGUGCCUCCUGUUGCCAGGCUUGGAUUCCUCCUGGUGUCCCUUUCUCCACACAGAGGGCUGAGUUCCCGCACUCUGUAAUGCCUUGCUUGGUAACCAGCUGGCGCAUUACAGGAUGACUGAUUAUGAUGCACCAGGGAAGCGUCUUAUGGCAGAGAGGAAUGCACGAUAAAGCUGCAGAUCUUUGUUGUAAGAAGUGAAGCAAAGAAAUUUAAAUUUUGCCUGGCUUGGCUUUACUGAGCCCUCUGACCUCUGACCUCUGCUUCAGGUCACUCAGGGGAGGGUUUGUUCAGAGCACUCCUGCUAUCCUUCCCAAGCUCAGUAAAAUGUAUUGCUUUUCAUGGCUGAGCAAGGGGCUACGGGGAAGAAUGUAAGGCUGUGGGUCUGGUAUAACAGCCUUUCUGAUUUCUAAACAUUUAAAUAUGGUACUGUUGAACUCCUUGACAUACUGAACUUGAACGAACACCAAAGUGACACAGAUUUUAGAUAGUUUUAUAAUACUUCUGCAUGAGAGGUUCACUGAGUUUUAAUCUUUUGAUAAAAGCCUUCCUAAAUGGAAUAGAUUUGCCUCAGUACAAAAAGAAGCUCAGAGAAAGCUGCAGGAAUUGGAGUCCUGCUCCAGGCAGUAGAGAUUUGGUAUUUUUAUUGGUAGGAGUGAGGCACAUAGGAAGCAAGCAGGAGACUUUUAAUGAUUGGGAAUAAUGUUAUGGGAUAUACUGUUUUCAUAUAAUACCCUUGAAAGUGAAAUGUUCUGCAUAAUGUGUUCCACUAUGUCACAAGACAUGUCUCUGUAUGUUCAGUACAUUGGACUGUGCUGUACAAAAGCUUAUGAGACACUUCUGAAUUCCCUCAUACCCUGCCAGGAUUAAGGCAGCCCCAGCACUUGCCCUUUAGAUAUUUCCAAAGGAAACUCGGAAACCAAGGGUGUUACACCUGGAUCCUGUGUAAGGGCUUGUGCCACAGGUAUGGUUCCCCUUCAUAACCACUUCUCAUUCCUGAUUUGAGCCACUCUGCAGCUCUGGCUCAGACUGAGCUCCCUGGCUCAUUGCUUGGGUCUUGUCUUGUGUGUAAAUUACCCCAUACAGCACCACUCACCAACAGAAUCCUGCUUUCCUAUAGUCGUGCUGCUGCUGCCUCCUCUGACCCCAAGGCCAGGGCUUGUAAAGAAGUCCAGGAGAGCAGCCGAGCCCUCUUAAAGCCUGGGUACAUAUGUGAUGUGCUCGGUAAUGCUCUGGUAGGAACCAUCUCUUGAACAUCCCCAGGACACUCUGUGGUCAGUGAUGUUGGUACAGGCAGCAGGAAACACUCCAGAAUUAUUGUUACUGCGAUAAGCAGCUUGUUCUGCAUCACGUUUUAAAGCUCAUUAGUACAUAUUUAUAGAUGUUCACAGCUAAUUUCCUAUUCAUUUUAAAAGAAGAAAUAAAAAAAAAAGCAGGUGAGGUUUUGCUGCUUUAUGAAGAUGCAAGUAUGUGUUACUCCCUGUGUGUCUGCGACAACGCAGGUGCAGACAGUGCCAGGACUAUGUAUUGAAUGCAAAAUAGCAGCUGCUUAAAAAGUGGGAUUAGGGAAGGUCAUUCUGUGGUGUGUUCACUGUAAUUACCAAAGAAAUGCAAUUUAAGACAAAUUUUUGGAGGAUGUUUGGCUCAUCUGGUAGAUUCAUAGGCAUCCUGCAGCCUAACAGUGACAGAAAUCAGACAUAAGGGUGCUUUUAGCCAUUCCCAAAUGAGUUCCUCUCUCUUUGUGGCACUUUAAUGGACUCCAGGUUCUAGUCAUCCUCCCUCAUUUCUUUCCUGAUGCUUUUAAUUUCAGAUAAAUAUUUGAGAUUAGAAGUGGCUCUGGGUAUGAAAUGUGACCCUUUACCUCCAUUCAACUUUGUGAUUACGACAUACUAUUAAUAACCAGAAUCACCCUAAUCCCACAACUUGGAAAUGUUCAGCUCAAAUUACAUUGGUGUCUUUUUAACAGGAGCAACAUUUCUUUAAGGGAUGUGUCACUUCCAGAUGCAAAAAAAGAAACAGCUGCCUGCUUCAGACAUCAAAUAGGAGCUCUACUCAUCCAGAAAUGAGAUCAGUGUUUUGGGCUAUGAAACCCAAAAUGUGUCUUUCAAAUCAGAAUGGCUGUUCUGUCUGAGCAGGGGGAUAGUCACUGCAGUUAACAAAGUCAUCUUAAUUGCUUCUUCUUCUCCAGCAAAAGUAUGGAGUGGAAGAAUGGGAUAUCUUCAUUGUGCAUGAGAUAGUUGCAGAGUUUUGGAUCUCUCCCUAUUUUAAUGACUAAGAAGUACUUGAAUAUCAUUAUUAUUAUUGUUCUUAUUGACUAAGAAGUACUUUAUCAGGUAUUUGUAGCACCCAUUUUUAGGCAAGUGUGGCAACUUUCAAAAAAUCUUGUCCUUAAGUCCUCAAUUUCUUCAUGUAUAUUAAUAGCAAAAUGCAAUUCAAAAGGUGAAAAACUGUAUGUCCUGAACACUGUAUCCCUUUAAAUGUGAUGGCAAUGAUACUGCCUAAUGGAACAAACAAAAUGUGAAGAUGUUUUUAAGCAUUUUAAAAAAUAUUUUACACCUGGACAUACUUUAUUACUAUUUCUACAUCUCAUUGAACAGUUAGGGGACUGGAUGGACUUAGGAAUCCACAUGGAUAAGCCAGAGUAAGUCUCUCCAUCCUUAAAAUUCCCAUUUUUCUCCCUUCUCUGACGCUGCUGAUAUGGUAAACACAAGCAAGUUUUAUCUUUUAUGGAAGUGUCUUUCCUUGGAAGGAUUUUUUUCCUUUACAGGCCAAGCAAACCAGACAUUUUUGUGGGUGCUGGGGGUAGAGGUGGAGACUUAAGCUUAAUAUAUAGGAUAAAUAUAGAAGAAGUAGAGAAAAGAGAAAGUAUUUGGCAUGUGGUUACAACUUAGGCUAAAUAAAUUCCAGUGGUUA